CCGCAUCGCAGGGUGUGGAUCCGGAGCGGUCCAGAAAGGGUAGCCAGCACAGGGAGUAAUAACGGGAGAGGGGCGAAUAUGAGUUAAUGCUACCCGAGAAGAACACCACCUAGGAGGUGAAUAUCCUGCGAGAAAAAUCAGAGGAUUGAAAGAAAAUAUAGUUCAUUGUUUGACCUGGAGGUAUCAAAGGCAACAGUAGUGUGAGGAGAGAGCAUCGAGACAUACGGAAGCUCGGAACUGACUGGCAGCGACUGCGUAGAAGACGGUGUGAGAGGGAGGUGACAGUGUUGAAAAGUAUAUUGCUUUUGUUCAUUUGGAACUACGGAGUAUUGAGUUUUGUUUUAGAUGCACGUUUUUAUCUUACUUUCGCGGGGAUCACGACUCACUUCCGGAAACCCACUUAAUUUUUUGUUGAGCAAUCGCUACAGUUUUUGUAUCAAAACUGACGAAGAGACUCCAAAACCGGAAAAUUGUACUGUCGCAAAUGUCUUGUCAGACGAGAUACAUCAAUUUGACAUAAAAAAAAUAUAUAUAUGGGAGAGUGCGGACCGGAUUUAUUGAAUAUGUAAAAUAUUAUAUUCAAGUAUUUGACAUUCUGUAGUUAACAAACAGCCUUUGCCACCCAAGUGAACUCGCGAGAGAGAAGGAUACAUUUUGCUGCGUAUGUGGACGCGUCUCUGGCACAUCAAAGCAAAUCAAAAUUGAAGAUUCAUUUCUCUUUUUUUAUUAUCAAGAGAGGCGCAUUGACUCUACCUAGAUCAGAGACUUUGGAAUAGAGCGCAAGAAACUGACACUGAAAACGGUUUUACUUUUGUUGUGCCUUGGAAUACACUUACUUGCACAUGAACACUUUGCUUUGUCGUAUUUAUUUUUGCAUGCACAUGUUUAUUUCUUCUUCCUGCACACAAUAACAUUUUUCACAAGCUAAAGGUUGUUGUCACUCGUGUUUUUAGUUCCGUGUCCCUCUCCUACCACCUCUCGACCUGGCAGGCUUAAAGGGCACCAGUUAACUGUGGACUUCGCUAGUUCCGUUCAAGGGGGAAGGGUAGAUUUUCAUGUUUGUGCAUCUGGUGGAGGAGACAAAGACAAAAAGCUUUUACUGUGGAUGAUUUAUCUCUCUGAACUGUACCGUUAUCACUGGAUUAAACCACCAGGUUGAAGUCCGGGAAAGAAAACAGCACAGAUGUUUUUGGAUUGCUUUCACCUGCUUCUUUUUUGAGUGAUUAGUUCACAAUAGGAUACUUACACAGAAUCUAAGAGGCAAAGGCUAUUUUUAGGGAGAGUAAUGGGGUAAAUGGUGGUAGUUGGAAAUUGAGACCCCCACCCUCAGCCCAACAACACUUCCAGCUUUAGCUCUGGUUCCAUUGUCAGCUGCUGAAUUUUCAAAACUGGAAAUCCGAGUGGGGGUCCCGUCUCAGUCAAGCUCCCAGAUAUACAUCUCACCCUUGUCUACUAUCUGACUGUAUCUUCUAUCUUCUUUGACUGGAAUUUAAAAAAUAAAUUCAACAAGGAACAAUGCAUGAAACUCAGCACUUAUAAGAAGCAAACUUGAGUAACCAAAUAUUUUCUUCCCCAUAUACACAGAGAAGCAUAUUUUUCUAUAUAAUAUAUAUAUAUAUAUAAUAUAUAUAUAUAUAUAAUAUAUAUAUAUUAAAUAAGAAAUAGCUAUGAAUUAUAUAAGAAUAUGUAGUUUAAAUAAUUAUAUUAUAUUUUUACGUCAGAAAUAAGUAUUGUUGCCUGAAACCCAGUUCAUUGCCUUAGAGAAACAUAGUAAUAAAGAAUAAAGAGGAAAGACGACGUGGAACUUUUUUGGAAACAAGUUAAUGGUGCCUUUUUAGUUUCGUUGGUUCCUAAUGUCUCCACCACUUCAGGAUUGAAUUGUUGACAAAGAAAUAUUUUUGUGUGAAACCCUUAUAUAUAUAUAUAUAUAUAUAUACCUGCCUUUCCGGUUCAAACUUGAGUUAUAUUGUCGUUGGAUGUAUAUUCGCUGAAUUUCAGAGUUUCCUGAAGAUUUCUGAGCCGAGGAUUACCCCUUCACUCUACACUUGAUGCAUCCUCAUAGUUUUCCAAAGUAAUUUUGGAAUCCCCAAAUUAUAAACUUUGACUUGAUUUCUGGGAUACAGCGGCCCAACACACAAGAGUUUCCGAUGGUGAUCACUUCGUCAGUGGAGGAGAAGCCACAGCCUUCUAACAGAAUGGUCGCAAAUCUGCCGACCGACUCCUGGAUCAACAACCCAGAACAAAGUCGCUACUUACCAACUCAGUCACACCUACUCCGGAAACCGACAAAAAGUGGAAGCAGCUCAGGAUGCAAGCCCCCCUCCUCUACCCUCUGCCAGCCUGCCGCCUUGGGCUUCUCCCCCGCUGAGCCAACCAUGUCGAGCCAGCAUAGCCACCCCUCCUUCAGCAACAUCCACUCCAUGGCUGAACAGCAGCAGGUGCUGUCUGAUGCGACCAUACUGCAGAGGAGGAUCCCCCAAGUUUUAGAGAUCCCGCCAGCGCCCACUGAGAAAACUCUCUGUCGAUCUGAUCAAGACUUACAAGCACAUCAAUGAGGUGUACUACACGAAGAAGAAGCGGCGUGCCCAGCAGGUGCCCCCGGAGGACUCGAGCACUAAGAAGGAGCGGAAGGUGUACAAUGAUGGCUACGACGACGACAACUACGACUACAUCGUCAAGAACGGGGAGAAGUGGCUGGACCGCUACGAGAUUGACUCGCUCAUCGGCAAGGGCUCCUUCGGGCAGGUGGUGAAAGCCUAUGACCACCACGAGCAGGAGUGGGUGGCCAUCAAGAUCAUCAAGAACAAGAAAGCCUUCCUGAACCAGGCCCAGAUAGAGCUGCGACUGCUGGAGCUCAUGAACAAACACGACACAGAGAUGAAGUACUACAUAGUCCACCUGAAGAGGCACUUCAUGUUCCCGGAACCACCUGUGCUUGGUGUUCGAGCUUCUCUCCUACAACCUGUACGACCUCCUGCGCAACACCAACUUCCGUCUCUCUCAACCUGACCAGAAAGUUUGCCCAGCAGCUGUGCACGGCGCUGCUGUUCCCUGGCCAGCCCAACCACCUCAUCAUCCACUGCAUCACCUCAAGCCCGAGAACAUCCUGCUGUGCAACCCCAAGCGCAGCGCCAUCAAGAUCGUUGACUUCGGCAGCUCCUGUCAACUAGGCCAGAGGAUCUACCAGUACAUCCAGGUGGUUCAGAUGAAUAAGAUAGUCCGGAGGUGUGCUGGGGGUGCCCUCGACCUGGCCAUUGACAUGUGGUCCCUGGCUGCAUUCUGGUGGAGAUGCACACGGAGAACCCCUCUUCAGCGGCUGUGGAGGUAGGCUGUGAGAACACACAGAUGAAUAAGAUAGUGGAGGUGCUGUCCUCCCAACCACAUGCUGGUUCAGGCUCCCUGCACGGAAGUACUUUGACAGGUCCGAGGUCUGUGGACCGUCAAGAAGAACAAGGACAUAAAGAAGGAGUACAAGCCUCCUGCGACGCGGCGGCUCCAUGAGAUCCUGGGGGUGGAGACCGGGGGUCCUGGCGGGAGGCGGGGCGGAGAGCAGGGGCACGCUCCCUGCGAUUACCUGAAGUUCAAGGACCUGAUCCUGCGCAUGCUGGACUACGACCCCAAAACGCGCAUCACGCCCUUCUAUGCGCUGCAGCACAACUUCUUCAAGAAGACGACGGACGAGGGCACCAACACCAGCAGUUCCACCUCCACCAGCCCGGCCAUGGACCACAGCCACUCCACCUCCACCACCAGCUCCGUCUCCAGCUCCGGUACGGGACACAGCAGUGGAUCUAGCGGUUCUUCCAAUGACAACCGGAAUUACCGGUACAGUAACCGGUACUACAACAGUGCAGUUACUCACUCAGACUAUGAGAUGCAGAGUCCACAGGCUCCAUCUCAGCAGCAGCUACGCCUCUGGCCGGGGGGAGAGGGGGGCAUGGGUCCCCUGUCCAACAGCGGCAGUAGCGUCGGCGACCCCCCAUACCCCCAGCUGCUGCUGCACAAGCCGGCGGCCACCCAGCACUCGCGCCACUUCCUGGGAGGCGGCGGCAUGAUGGAACCACACCACCCGCACCCCAUCUACGGCAGUCACCACGGCAAUGGGCGGGGCCUGCGGCAGACUGGGCAGGGGAACCAGCCCCAGGGCCAGGCUUCACAGGGCCAGCCCCUGAUACCUAUCUCCUCCCCACAGAUGCCAGACAGCAUCGAGCUCAGCCUCACACACCACCACCAUCUGGGUCAGUCUUCCAUCAUGCCGCCCCCAUCCAGCUUGGACUCCAGCCAGUACGGCUCCUCCAACCUCCACCUGGGCCUCUCUGCCUUUCGGACUAGGACGGUCAUGGCCCCCCAGCCGCCCCCCGCCGGCUCUCAGCAACAGUUGGCUCAGCCCCCAGCCUCUCAGGACAGCUUGGUCGCUGCCUCCGGGCUUGGAUACAUCCCCCCAUGCUACCCGGGAAGUAACAACAAUAACAACCCUCCCCAGGGUAGCGUGGUCGGGGGCGGGAUGCUCACUGGGGGGCCCCCACCCAGGGGAGUAGGGGGUGGUGGGGGGAGGCCGGACUCUGAGGAGUCCACCAUGAUGGGUGUGUGCGGCAGUGGAGGAGGUGGUGGUCAGAACACGGCCAACUCUUGAUAAAUCUUGAACAAAUUCCAAAAGCCAUACAAUUUUAACAAUGACAACAUUACAAUUUCAACACGCAUACAUACACAGUACACACUUGAGUUUGAAACAAAUACGGCCACACAUAUAGUUACAGAGACAAACUUGUGAAAUAUCAAAGGAGUUUUGUUUUGCAUGGGAGAAGGUCAAGGGAGAGUGAGAGAGGGAGAGUGAGAGUAAGAGAGGGAGAGUGAGAGUAAGAGAGGGAGAGUGAGAGUAAGAGAGGGAAGGCUUUGAAACCAUUUUUAUCCUUUUUUCAGUUUCUUUGUUUUUCUUUUGUUGAAGGAAAGAAACGGGGCUCAGUAGUUGGAAUGGAAAGUUUCAGAUAAGUUUGUUUUUAUUGUUAUUAUUAUUAUUAUAUUAUUUGAUUUUAUGUGAUUUAAGGAAAGGUUUGCAGCGAGAUUUUUGUUGUUUGGGUUGUUUUUUGGAAUGAAGACCGCAAAGGUAAAUGAAUGGUUUGAAAAGUGGUAAUUGUUGGUUAAGAAGAGGGAGGCACGAGAGAGUACCCUUAUGCUAUUUUUUUCAAUCUUUUUUAUUUUCUUUGUUUUUGUUUAGUUUUUCUGAAGUAUAGGUUUAAUUGUACAUGUUUUAUUUAUUAAACAUCACUACAUGAGGAGGAGGGUAAGCGGGGAGAUCGAAAGAGCGCUAAAUUGAGAGGUGGUUUAUUUAUUCAUUUUAAUUUAUACAGGUUUUUUUUUCCAGCUAAUGGACAGUAAACACUUGUGCAUACACAGAGAAACAAACAAACUAGGGUGUUUUUAGUUUGUUUUUCAGUUCAGUAUAUCUCACCCCCGAAACACACACACUUUUGUUACAUUUAUUUUCUUCUCUCGCUUGACACUGGCUUAUAUAUCUGAAACUACGAAACAGAUCAUAGAAAUGAAAUGAAGCAAAUGACAAAAACCGUAGUCACCACACAGUGAGAAACUAUACGAUGAGGAGGCUGAAACAUUUGACGAAGUGAGACGCUUUCAAGAGGAGAGGGGGAACAGAACUUCUACACAAAAGGAGGAAGUGAUUCAACAAUGAAAAACAACAAAACAUUUUGCCACAAGGAAAACCAAAAUGCUUCCCUGUUGUUUAAAAAAAAGAAAUUAGUCUGCCUUCUACUUCAACAUCUAACCAGACUCUUUCACCCUCUUUCUCUGUCUUUCUCUCUGUCUUUUCUUACUCAAUUUUGUUUUGGACCAUAAACUACAGAAAUGUAACACAUUUUGGGUUGGAGUAACUGGAUAUGCUAAGCCAAAUCUUGCUCGCUCUCUCUGUCUCGCUCUCUUCUCCUCUGCCCCAUUUUUCUGUUGGAAGGGAGGGGGGAGGGGAGCAAUAUAUAGCAGGAGGGAGGAGUACAUACUUAUGAGGGGACACUUUCAUGCCCUCCUUACCCCUACAGCCCCAGUGACUGACUUCUCUGGCCUCUUUUCUUUCUCCUGUCUUUUGUUCUCCCCUUCCCUCCCUCCUUCACGACACUCUGUGAGUGCUGUUUGCCAUCAAGUCAAAAAAAAAGUGAACUACUUCUCUCUCGGCUGCUAUCUACACUUUCAACCAUGUUCGGAUUGCUGCUAAAGAAAACAGACAGACAGAUAAAUAAAUAAAAAUGAAACUUUUUAACCCUCCUGCUUCAGAAAAAAUUGAAAAAAUAAACCACUGCAUCUCAUGUAUUUAUUACUAUUUAACAAGAAAAAGAAAAGGUAAAGAUGAACCUGUUUUCUUCUGUUUUUUGUUUGGUUGCCUUCUUCCUGCUGGUGAAAGUUGGGCAUUGACUAAAUGUAACAGUUAAAGGUGGUAUUAAAACACUGACUUAGUUUAAGUCAGCCACUGGGCGGGGCCUGAAUGGGGGAAACUGGGUAAGAAUAAAGUUGGAUAUAUAAGAAUAAAGAGUAUACUUUUGCACACAAAGGUCAAAUGCAAAUCACAGCUUUCUGCUUUUUUCAGCUUUCAGUCGACAGACCCUCAUCUGAGCAAUGUGCAUACAGUAGCAGGCCUACCACAAAGACAACCUGUUGAUGUGGCAAGCUAAGUGAUCACUGACAUGGCAUAAUAAAUCUGAGAUUUGCGUUUGACCUCAA